AAGACUCUACUUUCAGGGAUCAUUUCUUUAGUCUGGAACUAGAGGAUUGUAUUUCUACAGAGGUUGGUCUGGCUGUCCAUGAUGAUGAAUGAAGAUGUUUCCUUCAAAGCAGGAAGCUGGUGAGGAGAUGAGAAUCUUCUUCACUGAUGAAGACUGUUCAGUGUUUCUGGAUGAGACACUGAAGGAGGAAACAUUGUCUGAGUGGA
rnacentral:snoRNA from 1 species